rnacentral:rRNA from 1 species
GACGAACGCUGGCGGCGUGCUUAACACAUGCAAGUCGAACGGAAAGGCCCUGCUUGCCGGGUACUCGAGUGGCGAACGGGUGAGUAACACGUGGGUGAUCUGCCCUUCACUUCGGGAUAAGCCUGGGAAACUGGGUCUAAUACCGGAUAGGAGCCAUCUUUAGUGUGAUGGUUGGAAAGUUUUUUCGGUGUAGGAUGAGCUCGCGGCCUAUCAGCUUGUUGGUGGGGUAAUGGCCUACCAAGGCGGCGACGGGUAGCCGGCCUGGGAGGGUGGACGGCCACAUUGGGACCGAGAUACGGCCCAGACGCCUACGGGAGGGAGCAGGGGGGAAUAUUGCACAAUGGGCGCGAGCCUGAUGCAGGGACGCCGCGUGGGGGAUGACGGCCUUCGGGUUGGAAACCCCUUUCGCUAGGGACGAAGCUUUUUGUGACGGUACCUAGAUAAGAAGCACCGGCUAACUACGUG